GGGGCGGCGGAGACCCGCCCCGGCCCACAGGACACCCCCUCGGAACGCGCGGCCCCCCAGCUAAGUCGGGUUUAACAGCCGCAGAAAUUAUCUUGUCUCCGCGUUCUUUCUUCUGCCGGCGAGCCAGUGUCAUUUGUGGAUUAUUAAAGAAACCUCUCCAUGCCCGAUACGUUAAGGACCUUCAAUAUAACAUCAAAUAGAAAGGGUGAGUACAAGCAUUGUUUUCCUAUUUUUAUCUCAUUGAGAAUGUUUCUCAUGUGUCAAAAUUAUGAUAUUUGUUUUUAAGUCUUUGGUAGGAACUCUUUAUUAGUUUCCUUCUAUUCCAUUUAUGCUUAAAGUAGGAAUAUUGUUAAGCCAUGAAAUGAAUAUUGAAAUAUUAAUAAAUGCUUUUUCUAAAAAUAUUGAGAUGAUUACAGGUUUUAUCUUUGCUAUGUUAAUGUGACAGGUCACAUUGUUAGAUGUUUCUGAUGUGAACCUACACUUGCAUUCCUGAGUUAAACCCUGCUUUGCCUUAAUGUACUGUUAUUUAUUAAUACAGCGCUUCAUGUAUUUUAUUUUAGCAUCUAUGUUUAUAAGUGACAUUGGUUUAGAAGGUUCCAAUUGCAUUUGGAAAUUUCCUCUUUCUAUAUUCUAUGACAGUUUGGAUGAGAUAGGUAUGAUA